rnacentral:rRNA from 1 species
UGUUGAAAGCUUGCUGGAUAUACAACUUAGUGGCGGACGGGUGAGUAACACGUGAGUAACCUGCCUUUCAGAGUGGAAUAACGUUUGGAAACGAACGCUAAUACCGCAUAACAUGAGAGAACGGCAUCGUUCUUUCAUCAAAGAUUUUAUCGCUGAGAGAUGGGCUCGCGGCCGAUUAGGUAGUUGGUGAGAUAACAGCCCACCAAGCCGACGAUCGGUAGCCGGACUGAGAGGUUGAACGGCCACAUUGGGACUGAGACACGGCCCAGACUCCUACGGGAGGCAGCAGUGGGGGAUAUUGCACAAUGGAGGAAACUCUGAUGCAGCGACGCCGCGUGAGGGAAGACGGUCUUCGGAUUGUAAACCUCUGUCUUUAGGGACGAAAAAAUGACGGUACCUAAGGAGGAAGCCACGGCUAACUACGUGCCAGCAGCCGCGGUAAUACGUAGGUGGCAAGCGUUGUCCGGAAUUACUGGGUGUAAAGGGAGCGUAGGCGGGGAGACAAGUUGAAUGUUUAAACUAUCGGCUCAACUGAUAGUCGCGUUCAAAACUAUCACUCUUGAGUGCAGUAGAGGUAGGCGGAAUUCCUAGUGUAGCGGUGAAAUGCGUAGAUAUUAGGAGGAACACCAGUGGCGAAGGCGGCCUACUGGGCUGUAACUGACGCUGAGGCUCGAAAGCGUGGGUAGCAAACAGGAUUAGAUACCCUGGUAGUCCACGCCGUAAACGAUGAUUACUAGGUGUGGGGGG